rnacentral:rRNA from 1 species
UACGUAGGAGGCAAGCGUUGUCCGGAAUUAUUGGGCGUAAAGAGCUCGUAGGCGGCCUGUUGCGUCCGCUGUGAAAUCCCGGGGCUCAACCCCGGGCCUGCAGUGGAUACGGGCUGGCUAGAGGCAGGCAGGGGAGAACGGAAUUCCUGGUGUAGCGGUGAAAUGCGCAGAUAUCAGGAGGAACACCGGUGGCGAAGGCGGUUCUCUGGGCCUGUACUGACGCUGAGGAGCGAAAGCGUGGGGAGCGAACAGG